AUUGAACGCCGGCGGCAUGCCUUACACAUGCAAGUCGAACGGCAGCACGGGAGCAAUCCUGGUGGCGAGUGGCGAACGGGUGAGUAAUGUAUCGGAACGUGCCCAGUCGUGGGGGAUAACGUAGCGAAAGCUACGCUAAUACCGCAUACGAUCUAUGGAUGAAAGCGGGGGAUCGCAAGACCUCGCGCGAUUGGAGCGGCCGAUAUCAGAUUAGGUAGUUGGUGGGGUAAAGGCUCACCAAGCCGACGAUCUGUAGCUGGUCUGAGAGGACGACCAGCCACACUGGGACUGAGACACGGCCCAGACUCCUACGGGAGGCAGCAGUGGGGAAUUUUGGACAAUGGGCGCAAGCCUGAUCCAGCAAUGCCGCGUGCAGGAUGAAGGCCUUCGGGUUGUAAACUGCUUUUGUACGGAACGAAACGGUGAGCUCUAAUACAGUUUGCUAAUGACGGUACCGUAAGAAUAAGCACCGGCUAACUACGUGCCAGCAGCCGCAGUAA
rnacentral:rRNA from 1 species